rnacentral:rRNA from 1 species
GACGAACGCUGGCGGCGUGCUUAACACAUGCAAGUCGAACGGAAAGGCCCCUUUGGGGGUACUCGAGUGGCGAACGGGUGAGUAACACGUGAGUAACCUGCCCUUGACUUCGGGAUAACUUCAGGAAACUGGGGCUAAUACCGGAUAGGAAUCCUUGCUGCAUGGUGGGGGUUGGAAAGCUUCGGCGGUUUUGGAUGGACUCGCGGCUUAUCAGCUUGUUGGUGGGGUAGUGGCUUACCAAGGCUUUGACGGGUAGCCGGCCUGAGAGGGCGACCGGCCACAGUGGAACUGAGACACGGCCCCGACUCCUACGGGAGGCAGCAGUGGGGAAUAUUGCACAAGGGGCGGAAGCCGGAUGCAGCAACGCCGCGGGCGGGAGGACGGUCUUCGGGUUGUAAACCGCUUUCAGCAGGGGCGAAGCUUGUGGUGACGGUACCUGCAGAAGAAGCACCGGCUAACUACGUG